AACGUAGGGGACAAGCGUUAUCCGGAUUUACUGGGCGUAAAGCGCCCGUAGGCGGCCUGACAAGUUGGACGUGAAAGCUCCUGGCUUAACUGGGAGAGGCCGUUCAAAACUGUCAAGCUAGAGUCUGGAAGAGGAGAGCGGAAUUCCCGGUGUAGUGGUGGAAUGCGUAGAGAUCGGGAGGAACACCAGUGGCGAAAGCGGCUCUCUGGUCCAACACUGACGCUGAUGCGCGAAAGCUAGGGGAGCAAACGGG
rnacentral:rRNA from 1 species